AUUAAUACCGCAUACGACCUACGGGAGAAAGGGGGCAGUUUACUGCUCUCGCUAUUAGAUGAGCCUAAGUCGGAUUAGCUAGAUGGUGGGGUAAAGGCCUACCAUGGCGACGAUCUGUAGCUGGUCUGAGAGGAUGAUCAGCCACACCGGGACUGAGACACGGCCCGGACUCCUACGGGAGGCAGCAGUGGGGAAUAUUGGACAAUGGGGGAAACCCUGAUCCAGCCAUGCCGCGUGUGUGAAGAAGGCCUUUUGGUUGUAAAGCACUUUAAGCAGUGAAGAAGACUCCAUGGUUAAUACCCAUGGACGAUGACAUUAGCUGCAGAAUAAGCACCGGCUAACUCUGUGCCAGCAGCCGCGGUAAUACAGAGGGUGCAAGCGUUAAUCGGAAUUACUGGGCGUAAAGGGAGCGUAGGUGGCUCUAUAAGUCAGAUGUGAAAUCCCCGGGCUUAACCUGGGAACUGCAUCUGAAACUGUAGAGCUAGAGUAUGUGAGAGGAAGGUAGAAUUCCAGGUGUAGCGGUGAAAUGCGUAGAGAUCUGGAGNGNAAUANCCGNAUGGCGAAGGCAGCCUUCUGGCAUAAUACUGACACUGAGGCUCGAAAGCGUGGGUAGCAAACAGGAUUAGAUACCCUGGUAGUCCACGCCGUAAACGAUGUCUACUAGUCGUUGGGNUCCCUUGAGGACUUAGUGACGCAGCUAACGCAAUAAGUAGACCGCCNUGGGGAGUACGGCCGCAAGGUUAAAACUCAAAUGAAUUGACGGGGGNCCCGCNACAAGCGGUGGAGCAUGNUGGUUUAAUUNCGAUGCAACGCGAAGAACCNUUACCUGGUCUUGANCAUNAUNCUAGAAUNCCUNGCAGANGAUGCGGGNAGUNGCCUUCGGGAAUUAGAAUNACAGGUGCNUGCAUGGCUGUCGUCAGCNUCGNUGUCGUGAGAUGUUGGGUUAAGUCCCNGCAACGANGCGCAACCCUUGUNCNCUUANGUUACCAGCGGGUUAAGCCGGGAANCUNCUAAGGAUACUNGCCAGUGACAAACUGGAGGAAGGCGGGGACGNANNCGUCAAGNUCAUCAUNGGCCCUUACGACCAGGGCUACACACGUGNCUACAAUGGUAGGUACAGAGGGCAGCUACACAGCGAUGUGAUGCGAAUCUCAAAAAGCCUAUCGUAGUCCAGAUUGGAGUCUGCAACUCGACUCCAUGAAGUAGGAAUUCGCUAGUAUUCGCGGAUCAGAAUGCCGCGGUGAAUUACGUUCCCGGGGCCUUGUACACACCGCCCGUCACACCAUGGGAAGU
rnacentral:rRNA from 1 species